rnacentral:lncRNA from 1 species
CAUAGUAUGAGAUGCCCGAUUGUCCACUGAUUGGGAUAUGAGGAUAGAUGAAUCAAGUGUCUGUGAUGAGCUCACUGGGUGACUCGGUGCUGCAGCAAAGCGAAGUAAUCGAGAGAAUAAUUCAUCAACUGUGGGGACAGUCGGACUAGCCAAAAUCCAAUCGCGUACUGAGUCGAGAUCAUUAGGAAGCCCAUCAAGAGUAAGAACUAGAAAUAGCUUUUGUCGUUGC